rnacentral:rRNA from 1 species
AUUGAACGCUGGCGGCAGGCCUAACACAUGCACGUCGAGCGCGCGGCGGACGGGUGAGUAAUGUAUGGAGAUCUCUCCGAGAGAGGGAGAUCUCCACUGGAAACUGUGUCUUACCCCGCAUUCUAUCGUAUGAACCCAUUUGGGUUUAGCUAGUAGGUGGGGUAAAGGCGCACCGUGGCGACGAUCUCUAGCUGGUCUGAGAGGAUGCGCAGCCAAACUGGGACUGAGACACGGGCCAGACUCCUACGGGAGGCAGCAGGGGGGAAUAUUGCACAAUGGGCGCAAGCCUGAUGCAGCCAUGCCGCGUGUAUGAAGAAGGCCUUAGGGUUGUAAAGUACUUUCAGUGGGGAGGCGUUACCCGCAGAAGAAGCACCGGCUAACUCCGUGCCAGCCGCCGCGGUAAUUC